rnacentral:misc_RNA from 1 species
GUGAAUCAUCGAAUUUUUGAACGCAAAUUGCACUCUCUGGUAUUCCGGAGAGUAUGCCUGUUUGAGGGUCAGUUUAAAGAAAAAUCGAUGUGGUUGCUGCCUUUCGUGGUGACGCACCGUAUGUGGUUCUACUUGCCUUCGGUUAAGUGACCUAAAGUUUUACAUGAGUUGUGCGAAGGUAUUUAAAUAAUUUUACGUACGUUUGCGAUAUCAAAUACUAGUUUCGGUGAUCCUCAUGAUCCUCUCUUUGAG